UGGGGGAAUAUUGCACAAUGGGCGCAAGCCUGAUGCAGCAACGCCGCGUGGAGGAAGACGGUUUUCGGAUUGUAAACUCCUGUUCUUAGUGAAGAAAAAUGACGGUAGCUAAGGAGCAAGCCACGGCUAACUACGUGCCAGCAGCCGCGGUAAUACGUAGGUGGCAAGCGUUGUCCGGAUUUAUUGGGUUUAAAGGGUGCGCAGGCGGCGCGCCAAGUCAGCGGUCAAAGUUCCGGGCUCAACCCGGUGUCGCCGUUGAAACUGGCGUGCUCGAGUGCGUGCGAGGAAGGCGGAAUGCGUUGUGUAGCGGUGAAAUGCAUAGAUAUGACGCAGAACUCCGAUUGCGAAGGCAGCUUUCCAGCGCGCUACUGACGCUGAGGCACGAAAGCGUGGGGAUCGAACAGGAUUAGAUACCCUGGUAGU
rnacentral:rRNA from 1 species